rnacentral:rRNA from 1 species
AUGGAGAAAGCUUCUGUUUCGGAUGAUUCUUCAGAUUCGAGCACUGAUUGUGAUUGGUCCCAGCUUCAGGCUGACCUGCUCCUCCAGAUCUUUGGCACUCUCGAGAUCCCUGAUCUCUUCAGCUCAGGUGCGGUCUGUCGAUCAUGGCACCUCAUUUAUCUGGAGGCCCGCCGUCUCCGGCGGUGCUUGCCGAACCAGAGCCCCUGCCUUGUUUACUCAUCCGGCGACCGUGACGCUAACACGGCCACCCUGCAUAACAUGUCCACCAACAAGCUUUACCACAUCACUCUAUCGGAGCCUGCCUUCCGCACACGCCACGUCAUGGGCUCCUCCUAUGGCUGGCUCAUCACCGCCGAUGAGCGGUCGAAUCUCAUACUAGUCAACCCUGUAACCAGAGCUCAGAUAGCUAUGCCUCCCCCUGAAACCAUGAACAAUGUUAGACUGCGCUACACCGAAGACGGUGUGCUAGACGGAUAUGAUGUUCUUUACAUGGAUCUGUUCUCUCGGGAUUUUGACACUGAAAUGGAGCCGUACCAUCUUACACUUGAAGAAGCCCGCUUCUACCUCUAUGCGAGGGUCGUUCUUUCUUGUGAUCCCUCCCAUGGAAACUGCACAGUUCUCGUAGUACAAUUGCCAAAGGAUCAACUCUCUUAUACUAGGGUUGGGGACACCAAAUGGACUUGGAUUGAUGCAAAUCCAAAUUGUUGGGCUUAUCAACAUAUACUUUAUAACAACAAUGAUGGUUUGUUUUAUGGUGUUCGUGGUAUGGGUGAGGUUGAUUCUAUUGAUCUUAAUGAACCUUCCGCUGAAGUUAAAGUUAUUUUGAAGCCGAUCAUAUCCUAUCAAGCGCAUAGUAGAUAUAUUGUUCAAGCCCCAUGGGGAGAUUUUUUCCAGAUAUGGAGGCAUGAUAAAUAUAAUAAGGAGAAUGGAAUAACAGAGCGGGUUGCAGACAAGUUUUAUGUGUACAAGAUUGAUUUUGUUAAACAAAAGCUCGUUGAAACAAAUAACAUCCAAGAUCACGCAAUUUUCAUUGGUUACAACAGCUCAUUUAUGCUUCCAGUGAAAGACUUUUCUACAUUGAUUCCCAACAGCAUCUACCACACGGAUGACUUGCUGGAUUAUAUCUUCUGUCAAAGAUCUAGUCUUAGGCAGGCUGUUGUCUUUAAUAUGAAAGAUAGCAGUUUCAUUGAGUUAUCGCCCCCUAGUUCAGAUUCAACAUUGAACUGGCCACCCUCGGUUUGGAUUCAACCAUCACUUACUUGA